rnacentral:rRNA from 1 species
GCGCCUCGUGAAUUCAUCUCCGGGGGUAGAGCACUGUUUCGGCUAGGGGGCCAUCCCGGCUUACCAACCCGAUGCAAACUGCGAAUACCGGAGAAUGUUAUCACGGGAGACACACGGCGGGUGCUAACGUCCGUCGUGAAGAGGGAAACAACCCAGACCGCCAGCUAAGGUCCCAAAGUCAUGGUUAAGUGGGAAACGAUGUGGGAAGGCCCAGACAGCCAGGAUGUUGGCUUAGAAGCAGCCAUCAUUUAAAGAAAGCGUAAUAGCUCACUGGUCGAGUCGGCCUGCGCGGAAGAUGUAACGGGGCUAAACCAUGCACCGAAGCUGCGGCAGCGACGCUGAUGCGUUGUUGGGUAGGGGAGCGUUCUGUAAGCCUGUGAAGGUGGCCUGUGAGGGUUGCUGGAGGUAUCAGAAGUGCGAAUGCUGACAUAAGUAACGAUAAAGCGGGUGAAAAGCCCGCUCGCCGGAAGACCAAGGGUUCCUGUCCAACGUUAAUCGGGGCAGGGUGAGUCGACCCCUAAGGCGAGGCCGAAAGGCGUAGUCGAUGGGAAACGGGUUAAUAUUCCCGUACUUGGUGUUACUGCGAAGGGGGGACGGAGAAGGCUAUGUUGGCCGGGCGACGGUUGUCCCGGUUUAAGCGUGUAGGUGUGUGUUCCAGGUAAAUCCGGUUCACUUUAACACUGAGGCGUGAUGACGAGGCACUACGGUGCUGAAGCAACAAAUGCCCUGCUUCCAGGAAAAGCCUCUAAGCAUCAGGUAACAUCAAAUCGUACCCCAAACCGACACAGGUGGUCAGGUAGAGAAUACCAAGGCGCUUGAGAGAACUCGGGUGAAGGAACUAGGCAAAAUGGUGCCGUAACU